rnacentral:rRNA from 1 species
GUGGGGAAUAUUGGACAAUGGGCGAAAGCCUGAUCCAGCCAUGCCGCGUGUGUGAAGAAGGUCUUCGGAUUGUAAAGCACUUUAAGUUGGGAGGAAGGGUAGUAACCUAAUACGUUGCUACUUUGACGUUACCGACAGAAUAAGCACCGGCUAACUUCGUGCCAGCAGCCGCGGUAAUACGAAGGGUGCAAGCGUUAAUCGGAAUUACUGGGCGUAAAGCGCGCGUAGGUGGUUCAGUAAGUUGGAAGUGAAAUCCCCGGGCUCAACCUGGGAACUGCUUUAAAAACUGCUGAGCUAGAGUACGGUAGAGGGUGGUGGAAUUUCCUGUGUAGCGGUGAAAUGCGUAGAUAUAGGAAGGAACACCAGUGGCGAAGGCGACCACCUGGACUGAUACUGACACUGAGGUGCGAAAGCGUGGGGAGCAAACAGGAUUAGAAACCCGUGUAGUCC